CCUACGGGUGGCAGCAGUGGGGCAUAUUGGACAAUGGGGGGAACCCUGAUCCAGCGACGCCGCGUGAGUGAAGAAUUAUUUCGGUAUGUAACGCUCUAUCAGCAGGGAAGAAAAUGACGGUACCUGCCUAAGAAGCCCCGGCUAACUACGUGCCAGCAGCAGCGGUAAUACGUAGGGGGCAAGCGUUAUCCGGAUUUACUGGGUGUAAAGGGAGCGUAGACGGUGUAGCAAGUAUGAUGUGAAAGGGCGGGGCCCAACCCCGGGACUGCAUUGGAAAAUGUUGAACUGGAGUACAGGAGAGGUAAGCGGAAUUCCUGGAGUAGCGGUGAAAUGCGGAGAUAUUAGGAGGAACACCAGUGGCGAAGGCUGCUUACUGGACUGUAACUGACGUUGAGGCUCGAAAGCGUGGGGAGCAAACAGGAUUAGAUACCCUAGUAGUC
rnacentral:rRNA from 1 species